rnacentral:rRNA from 1 species
GCUUACAGCCAUACCACCCUGAGCACGCCCGAUCUCGUCUGAUCUCGGAAGCUAAGCAGGGUUGGGCCUGGUUAGUACUUGGAUGGGAGACUGCCUUUGAAUACCAGGUGCUGUAAGCU